GAGAGCUUGCUCUCUGGGUGACGAGUGGCGGACGGGUGAGUAAUGUCUGGGGAUCUGCCCGAUAGAGGGGGAUAACCACUGGAAACGGUGGCUAAUACCGCAUAACGUCGCAAGACCAAAGAGGGGGACCUUCGGGCCUCUCACUAUCGGAUGAACCCAGAUGGGAUUAGCUAGUAGGCGGGGUAAGUCCCGCAACGAGAGACGAUCCCUAGCUGGUCUGAGAGGAUGACCAGCCACACUGGAACUGAGACACGGUCCAGACUCCUACGGGAGGCAGCAGUGGGGAAUAUUGCACAAUGGGCGCAAGCCUGAUGCAGCCAUGCCGCGUGUAUGAAGAAGGCCUUCGGGUUGUAAAGUACUUUCAGCGGGGAGGAAGGCGACGCGGUUAAUAACCGCGUCGAUUGACGUUACCCGCAAAAGAAGCACCGGCUAACUCCGUGCCAGCAGCCGCGGUAAUACGGAGGGGGCAAGCGUUAAUCGGAAUUACUGGGCGUAAAGCGCACGCAGGCGGUCUGUUAAGUCAGAUGUGAAAUCCCCGGGCUUAACCUGGGAACUGCAUUUGAAACUGGCAGGCUUGAGUCUUGUAGAGGGGGGUAGAAUUCCAGGUGUAGCGGUGAAAUGCGUAGAGAUCUGGAGGAAUACCGGUGGCGAAGGCGGCCCCCUGGACAAAGACUGACGCUCAGGUGCGAAAGCGUGGGGAGCAAACAGGAUUAGAUACCCUGGUAGUCCACGCCGUAUACGAUGUCGACUUGUAGGUUGUUCCCUUGAGGAGUGGCUUCCGGAGCUAACGCGUUAAGUCGACCGCCUGGGGAGUACGCCGCAGGUAAAACUCUCAUGAAUUGACGUGCCGCACAAGCGUGGAGCAUGUGUUUUAAUUCGAUGCAACGCGAAGAACUUACCUACUCUGACAU
rnacentral:rRNA from 1 species